UCCUCGUUAGUAUAGUGGUGAGUAUCCCUGCCUGUCACGCGGGAGACCGGGGUUCGAUUCUCUGACGGGGAG
rnacentral:tRNA from 1 species